ACAUCGACAGCUCAGUGACAGAGCGGUGGGGCGUUGAUCCAUGCGGCCAGGGUUCGAGUCCCGGUCGAUGCA